rnacentral:rRNA from 1 species
ACGCUGCGGCAGGCCUAACACAUGCAAGUCGAGCGGCAGCACGGGUACUUGUACCUGGUGGCGAGCGGCGGACGGGUGAGUAAUGCCUAGGAAUCUGCCUGGUAGUGGGGGAUAACGCUCGGAAACGGACGCUAAUACCGCAUACGUCCUACGGGAGAAAGCAGGGGACCUUCGGGCCUUGCGCUAUCAGAUGAGCCUAGGUCGGAUUAGCUAGUUGGUGGGGUAAUGGCUCACCAAGGCGACGAUCCGUAACUGGUCUGAGAGGAUGAUCAGUCACACUGGAACUGAGACACGGUCCAGACUCCUACGGGAGGCAGCAGUGGGGAAUAUUGGACAAUGGGCGAAAGCCUGAUCCAGCCAUGCCGCGUGUGUGAAGAAGGUCUUCGGAUUGUAAAGCACUUUAAGUUGGGAGGAAGGGCAGUUACCUAAUACGUAUCUGUUUUGACGUUACCGACAGAAUAAGCACCGGCUAACUCUGUGCCAGCAGCCGCGGUAAUACAGAGGGUGCAAGCGUUAAUCGGAAUUACUGGGCGUAAAGCGCGCGUAGGUGGUUUGUUAAGUUGAAUGUGAAAUCCCCGGGCUCAACCUGGGAACUGCAUGCAAAACUGCCAAGCUAGAGUAUGGUAGAGGGUGGUGGAAUUUCCUGUGUAGCGGUGAAAUGCGUAGAUAUAGGAAGGAACACCAGUGGCGAAGGCGACCACCUGGACUGAUACUGACACUGAGGUGCGAAAGCGUGGGGAGCAAAC